CAUUGUUCCUGCAAACAGGACGCACAGCCGGCCAUAAAGACACAGCCUGACAAACACAAAUCCCAAAAGCCGCGCGCGGCGUCCUGCGGACCAUGGAGAAAUCAGCCCGCGGAGCGCCGCCGGUGGCCACACGUGCCCGGCUCCGGAGUGGACAGCACAGCGCCCUCUGUCCGCAAGCACAGGUCAGACUCCAGAGAAGGGCGCCCUCCCCAGGCGCGGAGCCCCACUGCAGUCUGGCGGCUGGUGCCUUUCCCGUUGACGUUGUGCAAAGCUGAAGUUCGUCCGUGUUCCUAGCUGCAUGAAUACAGGCUUUGCAUUUAA